rnacentral:rRNA from 1 species
UUAAGCGACUAAGCGUACACGGUGGAUGCCCUGGCAGUCAGAGGCGAUGAAGGACGUGCUAAUCUGCGAUAAGCGUCGGUAAGGUGAUAUGAACCGUUAUAACCGGCGAUUUCCGAAUGGGGAAACCCAGUGUGAUUCGUCACACUAUCAUUAACUGAAUCCAUAGGUUAAUGAGGCGAACCGGGGGAACUGAAACAUCUAAGUACCCCGAGGAAAAGAAAUCAACCGAGAUUCCCCCAGUAGCGGCGAGCGAACGGGGAGCAGCCCAGAGCCUGAAUCAGUGUGUGUGUUAGUGGAAGCGUCUGGAAAGGCGCGCGAUACAGGGUGACAGCCCCGUACACAAAAAUGCACAUGCUGUGAGCUCGAUGAGUAGGGCGGGACACGUGGUAUCCUGUCUGAAUAUGGGGGGACCAUCCUCCAAGGCUAAAUACUCCUGACUGACCGAUAGUGAACCAGUACCGUGAGGGAAAGGCGAAAAGAACCCCGGCGAGGGGAGUGAAAAAGAACCUGAAACCGUGUACGUACAAGCAGUGGGAGCACAGAGCAAUCUGUGUGACUGCGUACCUUUUGUAUAAUGGGUCAGCGACUUAUAUUCUGUAGCAAGGUUAACCGAAUAGGGGAGCCGAAGGGAAACCGAGUCUUAACUGGGCGUUAAGUUGCAGGGUAUAGACCCGAAACCCGGUGAUCUAGCCAUGGGCAGGUUGAAGGUUGGGUAACACUAACUGGAGGACCGAACCGACUAAUGUUGAAAAAUUAGCGGAUGACUUGUGGCUGGGGGUGAAAGGCCAAUCAAACCGGGAGAUAGCUGGUUCUCCCCGAAAGCUAUUUAGGUAGCGCCUCGUGAAUUCAUCUCCGGGGGUAGAGCACUGUUUCGGCAAGGGGGUCAUCCCGACUUACCAACCCGAUGCAAACUGCGAAUACCGGAGAAUGUUAUCACGGGAGACACACGGCGGGUGCUAACGUCCGUCGUGAAGAGGGAAACAACCCAGACCGCCAGCUAAGGUCCCAAAGUCAUGGUUAAGUGGGAAACGAUGUGGGAAGGCCCAGACAGCCAGGAUGUUGGCUUAGAAGCAGCCAUCAUUUAAAGAAAGCGUAAUAGCUCACUGGUCGAGUCGGCCUGCGCGGAAGAUGUAACGGGGCUAAACCAUGCACCGAAGCUGCGGCAGCGACGCUUAUGCGUUGUUGGGUAGGGGAGCGUUCUGUAAGCCUGUGAAGGUGUGCUGUGAGGCAUGCUGGAGGUAUCAGAAGUGCGAAUGCUGACAUAAGUAACGAUAAAGCGGGUGAAAAGCCCGCUCGCCGGAAGACCAAGGGUUCCUGUCCAACGUUAAUCGGGGCAGGGUGAGUCGACCCCUAAGGCGAGGCCGAAAGGCGUAGUCGAUGGGAAACAGGUUAAUAUUCCUGUACUUGGUGUUACUGCGAAGGGGGGACGGAGAAGGCUAUGUUGGCCGGGCGACGGUUGUCCCGGUUUAAGCGUGUAGGCUGGUUUUCCAGGCAAAUCCGGAAAAUCAAGGCUGAGGCGUGAUGACGAGGCACUACGGUGCUGAAGCAACAAAUGCCCUGCUUCCAGGAAAAGCCUCUAAGCAUCAGGUAACAUCAAAUCGUACCCCAAACCGACACAGGUGGUCAGGUAGAGAAUACCAAGGCGCUUGAGAGAACUCGGGUGAAGGAACUAGGCAAAAUGGUGCCGUAACUUCGGGAGAAGGCACGCUGAUAUGUAGGUGAAGCGACUUGCUCGUGGAGCUGAAAUCAGUCGAAGAUACCAGCUGGCUGCAACUGUUUAUUAAAAACACAGCACUGUGCAAACACGAAAGUGGACGUAUACGGUGUGACGCCUGCCCGGUGCCGGAAGGUUAAUUGAUGGGGUCAGCGCAAGCGAAGCUCUUGAUCGAAGCCCCGGUAAACGGCGGCCGUAACUAUAACGGUCCUAAGGUAGCGAAAUUCCUUGUCGGGUAAGUUCCGACCUGCACGAAUGGCGUAAUGAUGGCCAGGCUGUCUCCACCCGAGACUCAGUGAAAUUGAACUCGCUGUGAAGAUGCAGUGUACCCGCGGCAAGACGGAAAGACCCCGUGAACCUUUACUAUAGCUUGACACUGAACAUUGAGCCUUGAUGUGUAGGAUAGGUGGGAGGCUUUGAAGUGUGGACGCCAGUCUGCAUGGAGCCGACCUUGAAAUACCACCCUUUAAUGUUUGAUGUUCUAACGUUGACCCGUAAUCCGGGUUGCGGACAGUGUCUGGUGGGUAGUUUGACUGGGGCGGUCUCCUCCUAAAGAGUAACGGAGGAGCACGAAGGUUGGCUAAUCCUGGUCGGACAUCAGGAGGUUAGUGCAAUGGCAUAAGCCAGCUUGACUGCGAGCGUGACGGCGCGAGCAGGUGCGAAAGCAGGUCAUAGUGAUCCGGUGGUUCUGAAUGGAAGGGCCAUCGCUCAACGGAUAAAAGGUACUCCGGGGAUAACAGGCUGAUACCGCCCAAGAGUUCAUAUCGACGGCGGUGUUUGGCACCUCGAUGUCGGCUCAUCACAUCCUGGGGCUGAAGUAGGUCCCAAGGGUAUGGCUGUUCGCCAUUUAAAGUGGUACGCGAGCUGGGUUUAGAACGUCGUGAGACAGUUCGGUCCCUAUCUGCCGUGGGCGCUGGAGAACUGAGGGGGGCUGCUCCUAGUACGAGAGGACCGGAGUGGACGCAUCACUGGUGUUCGGGUUGUCAUGCCAAUGGCACUGCCCGGUAGCUAAAUGCGGAAGAGAUAAGUGCUGAAAGCAUCUAAGCACGAAACUUGCCCCGAGAUGAGUUCUCCCUGACUCCUUGAGAGUCCUGAAGGAACGUUGAAGACGACGACGUUGAUAGGCCGGGUGUGUAAGCGCAGCGAUGCGUUGAGCUAACCGGUACUAAUGAACCGUGAGGCUUAACCUU